rnacentral:rRNA from 1 species
GACGAACGCUGGCGGCGUGCCUAAUACAUGCAAGUAGAACGCUGAAGAGAGGAGCUUGCUCUUCUUGGAUGAGUUGCGAACGGGUGAGUAACGCGUAGGUAACCUGCCUGGUAGCGGGGGAUAACUAUUGGAAACGAUAGCUAAUACCGCAUAAAAUUGAUUAUUGCAUGAUAAUUAAUUGAAAGAUGCAACUGCAUCACUACCAGAUGGACCUGCGUUGUAUUAGCUAGUUGGUGAGGUAACGGCUCACCAAGGCGACGAUACAUAGCCGACCUGAGAGGGUGAUCGGCCACACUGGGACUGAGACACGGCCCAGACUCCUACGGGAGGCAGCAGUAGGGAAUCUUCGGCAAUGGGGGGAACCCUGACCGAGCAACGCCGCGUGAGUGAAGAAGGUUUUCGGAUCGUAAAGCUCUGUUGUAAGAGAAGAACGGGUGUGAGAGUGGAAAGUUCACACUGUGACGGUAUCUUACCAGAAAGGGACGGCUAACUACGUGCCAGCAGCCGCGGUAAUACGUAGGUCCCGAGCGUUGUCCGGAUUUAUUGGGCGUAAAGCGAGCGCAGGCGGUUAGAUAAGUCUGAAAGUUAAGGCUGUGGCUUAACCAUAGUAUGCUUUGGAAACUGUUUAACUUGAGUGCAGAAGGGGAGAGUGGAAUUCCAUGUGUAGCGGUGAAAUGCGUAGAUAUAUGGAGGAACACCGGUGGCGAAAGCGGCUCUCUGGUCUGUAACUGACGCUGAGGCUCGAAAGCGUGGGGAGCAAACAGGAUUAGAUACCCUGGUGGUCCACGCCGUAAACGAUGAGUGCUAGGUGUUAGGCCCUUUCCGGGGCUUAGUGCCGCAGCUAACGCAUUAAGCACUCCGCCUGGGGAGUACGACCGCAAGGUUGAAACUCAAAGGAAUUGACGGGGGCCCGCACAAGCGGUGGAGCAUGUGGUUUAAUUCGAAGCGACGCGAAGAACCUUACCAGGUCUUGACAUCCCUCUGACCGCUCUAGAGAUAGAGUUUUCCUUCGGGACAGAGGUGACAGGUGGUGCAUGGUUGUCGUCAGCUCGUGUCGUGAGAUGUUGGGUUAAGUCCCGCAACGAGCGCAACCCCUAUUGUUAGUUGCCAUCAUUGAGUUGGGCACUCUAGCGAGACUGCCGGUAAUAAACCGGAGGAAGGUGGGGAUGACGUCAAAUCAUCAUGCCCCUUAUGACCUGGGCUACACACGUGCUACAAUGGCUGGUACAACGAGUCGCAAGCCGGUGACGGCAAGCUAAUCUCUGAAAGCCAGUCUCAGUUCGGAUUGUAGGCUGCAACUCGCCUACAUGAAGUCGGAAUCGCUAGUAAUCGCGGAUCAGCACGCCGCGGUGAAUACGUUCCCGGGCCU